rnacentral:rRNA from 1 species
AGUGAACGCUGGCGGUAGGCCUAACACAUGCCAGUCGAACGGCAGCACAUUAAGAGCUUGCUCUUACGGGUGGCGAGUGGCGGACGGGUUAGGAAUACAUCUGAAUCUACUUUUUCGUGGGGGAUAACGUAGGGAAACUUACGCUAAUACCGCAUACGACCUACGGGUGAAAGCAGGUGAUCUUCGGACCUUGCGCGAUUGAAUGAGCCGAUGUCGGAUUAGCUAGUUGGCGGGGUAAAGGCCCACCAAGGCGACGAUCCGUAGCUGGUCUGAGAGGAUGAUCAGCCACACUGGAACUGAGACACGGUCCAGACUCCUACGGGAGGCAGCAGUGGGGAAUAUUGGACAAUGGGCGCAAGCCUGAUCCAGCCAUACCGCGUGGGUGAAGAAGGCCUUCGGGUUGUAAAGCCCUUUUGUUGGGAAAGAAAAGCAGCAGGUUAAUACCCCGCUGUUCUGACGGUACCCAAAGAAUAAGCACCGGCUAACUUCGUG